CCUGAUCAACGAAAAUUUCAGGUUUAUACAAUUUUCAUUUAGGGAACAUAAAGGUUAACUGACUGUAAUGGGAGUAUUUUAAACAAACCCACCUACUCUUCCUCUCAGCGAACAGGGCUGGCGGCUCUGUUUAAUUCUGCUCUAUCUUUGCUGGUGUCGCUUUGGGCAGCACCGGCCACAAGAGUUCUGUCAACCACCUGCUGUGUCAAUGGCAAGCAAGGCACUGUCCUAGUGACCAGAGACCAGCACUAGACCAAGCACCAAAGCCCCUGGUGGGCAUGGACCCCAGAGUCUGUGCAGGAAGAAUUACUGUGCACACAGCAAUGGAAAUGCCAGCAUAGGAGGUGGCGGCGGCCAACAAGAACAUGUCUUCAGAGGACACAUACCUGUCACAAAUAGCCGGGACCCACUAGUGACAAGCACCAGGAGUCCUAUGGGAUUUAGGAUCCUGACUCAGCAGGAUCCCUCUGGGGAGGAAGGAGCAGAGUUUGUUGCGCCCCACCCACAUGCUACGUCACAACAUCCCUGUGUACGUGUGUACGUAUGUAGCAUUCAGGAGAUCUUCACAGGUUAUCUUACACACAUACACGAUGGCUAUCAAGCACAGGGACAGGCACACAGGGUCCUCAAGGGACGUCUCCUACUCUCUGUUCCCUCGCUGCACUGAUUUCCUCAUCAUUAGUCCCCUUGUUGACAAGGAAACAAGGCUUGGCAGAGUGUCCUGCCCACAGUCACAGGCAAAUCCAGGAUUCAAAUGCAGGUCCCCAACUUCAAAAUCUCUGCUCCCUCUUCUGGGUCCUGCCCUCUCAUUCCCUCCCUGCCCCUGUCUCCUCAGCCUCCAGGCUCAACUGGAUGCUAUUUCUCCCACGAAACCAUCCCCGACUCCAGCUUCCAGAAUUAAUUUCUUUACCACUUAUGGAAUUAAUUUCAUCCACUGUUUCCUCUGCUCAGUGUUUUAUUAAAAUCAGUGAUGGCAAAGUGAA